UGUAAAGUACUUUCAGCAGGGAGGAAGGGGGUAUCGUUAAUAGCGGUAUCUUUUGACGUUAGSUGCAGAAGAAGCACCGGCUAACUCCGUSCCAGCAGCCGCGGUAAUACGGAGGGUGCGAGCGUUAAUCGGAAUUACUGGGCGUAAAGCGCAUGCAGGUGGUUUGUUAAGUCAGAUGUGAAAGCCCGGGGCUCAACCUCGGAAUUGCAUUUGAAACUGGCAGGCUAGAGUACUGUAGAGGGGGGUAGAAUUUCAGGUGUAGCGGUGAAAUGCGUAGAGAUCUGAAGGAAUACCGGUGGCGAAGGCGGCCCCCUGGACAGAUACUGACACUCAGAUGCGAAAGCGUGGGGAGCAAACAGGAUUAGAUACCCUGGUAGUCCACGCCGUAAACGAUGUCUACUUGGAGGUUGUGG
rnacentral:rRNA from 1 species